UUAAACAAAUCUUACAUCUCUCCUGUUCCAGUCGUCUAAAACUCCGCAAUCAGGCACACGUUCGACUCCAUCUAAAACCACAGCUUUUUUAGAAGAUUUUUUUGGCUUUUGCGAGGAAAGUGCCGGAGAAUUCAGGCGUCAAACCAAACGGCUUCUCUGUGGACUAAUGGAGCUGAAAGCUGAUGAUGAUGAUCGAGAAAAUAUCAAGCAAGCAUCAUUUGCCAUCUGUGAAAGCAGAUCUAGAGAUAAGAGGCUCAAAGGGGACCGAGCAACUCGCUUUCGACACAUCUGAGGAGUCCACUGAAAGAGCCAAUAACGGGAUCAAGGGGUGGUGGUGUGUGCAGGAUGUUGUGUACUGGAGCAGGUGUGCAGCCUGUGGGCAUUUUCCCUACCAUAUGCACUCAGCAGGAGAUUAUGGUCAGUUCCAGUAGGGACAGUUUCCCUCGAGCAGCCUGGCCUACUGUACUCAGGGGUGUUUGGAAAUGAACCUGCACCUUUUGUACUGUCGUCCCAGAUCCUUAACCCUGUAUUUGUGUUGCUAGUAAAGCGGUAAAGCCUCUCAAAUGACAGAGAGAGCGAGUAAAUGUGUUUGUGUGUAAAACGCAUCAAAGCCAUUUAGAAUUUGACCUCCUGACACUGCUUAGAGGCAGCUUUUCCUUGUAGUAGAUUUGACACGCUCUCUUAUGCGCUCACUUAAGUUUGGAUUUUUUUUUCUUCUUCUGGUUGUUAAGGCACAUAACUGGCAGUGCUGGUGCUUUACUGUAUGUCUGCCCUGUCACUGUAUGUUCAGAGAGCUGUUGCAUCAUUUCUUCCACAAUCUAGAAGUGUAACUUUUUUUUGGCUAUGCUUACAAGCAGGGUGUAAAAUUAACUCUCACUAAGCAACAAAUGUGAGUAACAAUGCAAGUCAAUAAAUACUGGCCAGUUGAUUUAUUCAAUUAAAGUCAGCUGAUAUA